rfam:Glycine soja cultivar W05 scaffold1954_23, whole genome shotgun sequence.
UUCUUAUUGGAUGAUGACUGUCACGUGUCAUAUUCUGAUUGGAUGUCAAAUCAUGGAAGAUGAAAUGCAUUAUUGGUGUCAUUGGUCAAUCAGAACAUGGCACGUGACAGUCCUGAUAA